CUUUGUUUCUACAGGGAGCAGCGACCUUUGUUCCUCCGAUUCCUCGGCAAGGAGUGGACCCCGAGUCUCGGCGGCCUGCGAUACACCUCCGGGGCGGGAACAAGGGUGGCAUAGCACUGCUCAGCACUGUCUUAUGGUGGUGUCGGGGAAUUGAACCUGAGACCUUGGCAUGACAGUCUCUUUGCAUAAACAUUAUGCUGUUUACCCCACCCGACAGCCCUUGUUUUAUCCAGCAGCCCGAGGUGUAGGGGAGGAAGAGGACAGGACAAUGUCCGAGAAUUACUAGAUUUGCAAAGGCUGCCUUGCCCUACCCCAGUGUUACCUGUCAGUCCCCUUUGGGUCAGGCUGUGGGAUCCAGAUGUCAGUCCCUUACCCCCUAAAUGAGGAAGGUACACAGACUGGAGUGGAGAGGCUCUAAACUCUCAAAAGUCACCCGCAAGAGACCCAAUUUUCCCCUUCGGCUACUUCUCCUCCUCCUCCCCCUCCUCCUCCCCCCUUCCAUCACUGAGAAAUGGAAGUCUGUGACAUGGGCUCUUGUCAUUUCUUGUUGGAACAUUCAGGUCCAGAUAUUGACAACUGACCUGAAUGCUUUUCUAUGCCAGCUGGACAGAAGUGCUGAGAUUAAAUGGUCAGGCUCAUGAAUCCUGCAGAGACAUGGGGGAUGUCUGCCAGGGGGAGAGAGAGAGGGAGAGGGAGAGAAGGGGGGUUAUUGGGUGCAUGACACUGACAGGAGGAAACAUUACUCUCCAUCCAUACUUUCCUAGGUGGAGCCAUGUUGAGAUUUCUGGGUCUUAACGUUUAUCUUUAAGCUUCUAGAGACUGAGUUUAAAAGCUAUUUGUUAAAAGAUCAUAAAGUUAGUGAGGGAGGUGUGGUAUAGUGGUGGCCAAGUGAUAGCAACAAGAGGAAAAGGCCUGGCAUGUGAGCAGGUUCCACUCACUUCUGACCAGCUCUUCUGCCCAGAGCUGGCCUGAGUGUUCAGGCCUUAGUAACAGGCUUGGGUUA